GGGAAAGAUGAAAGAGCUGAGACACUGGUGACGUCAGGAACUGCUGCACCAGCCCUGGACUCGGACUUUAAUUACAUCUUCAUAACAUGAAGGAUGGAGAGAAAAAUAAUUAUUAUUCACCAUAUCCUGUAAAGAUGAAGACUUUUUUGACUUCGAAGUGAUUGGAAUUAGUUGAGAAUACAUGGA